CGAAUCACGAAUUGCAAAUUGAAUCCUCCGUCCGUCCGCCCACCGUCCAGCUCCUCCAUUCCUCCAGCUCCGAGCAAAGCAAGUGGGAGAGAGUAGAAAAGCGAAGAGGCGCAAUCCUCACAGCUCACUCUCCUCUCCUUCGCCUAAUUUUCUCGAUCCGAUUCGAGCUCAGUUUUCGCAGGCAUCUUGUUAGUUGAGAUCGAGUGGCGAUGGCGACAUUAGCAGCUCCAGAGGUGGUGACUCAACCGGCGGAAACGCCACAGCGGCUUUUGCGGCGGCGAUGGGGUCGGAACCGAAAUCGAAAACCGCUGAGAUUUUUUUUUAAGGGGGAAAAGGGGUAAAAUCACGAAGGACUCUCCAAGCUAUACUCUCCCAAGUUCGAAGUCCGAACUCCAAAGUCGUCGGUGUUCUCCGAAGCUGACGCCGUCGCCUGGUCUCGCCUCCUCAGUCCUCACCGGCGCUGCUGCUGCCUGGUAAGUUUUCUCUUUGUUUUUGUUUUUUCGUCCCUUCACUCAGAACACAUGUUAGAUAUAAAGGUUUUCUUCUGUAAUUUCACCUUGCAGUAGCAAUUUUGACUGUUAGAAUGUGUAAUUUCACAUGUGUGAUUAGAAUGUGUAAUUUCACAUGUUUUUUCGUCCCUUCACUCAUAACCAUUAGAAUUUGUGAUUAGUUCACAUAGUGAGUGCAUUAAGAAUUUUCUCUCUAUUGGAAGUGGAAGAGAGGGGCACUGUAUGUAUAGUAUAAGAGCCUAUGGCUGCUAAAAGAUUCAUUGUUCAAGUGUCCUUAUUAUUGUCUUCUGUAUUUUGUUAAACAGAUUUGUAUUUUGAGUUUUGACAGAUGGUUUACUAUUACUCUGGUGGCUUGAAACUGAAUCCUAAUCUGUACCCCUGUGGAAAAGUCUGCCUCAGCCUUCUGAACACUUGGCCUGGUGAAAUUCAUGAGAACUGGCAGCCAAAAAAAUCACCCAUGCUGCAAGUUUUAGUAUCUAUACAAACUUUAGUUCUAAACGUGAAGCCAUUCUUUAAUGAGCCUGGAUAUGAAAAUACUUAUGUUGGUGUUGUGGGGGAACGAAGGUCCAAAGGUUACAAUGAACAAGUGUUUGUCCUCUCCUUGAAAACAAUGAUGUAUACGCUUCGAAGGUCUCCAAUGGUAUGAUCGAUCUUCUAUACUAUACUGAUGUUUUUCUUUCUGUUCCCCCUUUUUCAUUUCAUCAGUUAAAUUCCUGUAAACCUCCUGUCACUUCUCCCAAUGAACCUGGAAAUAAUGGGAAGACUCCACUGAAAAAUCCAUCAAUUGACCAGAAGAAGCCACUGGAAACACUCGGUUCUAUGCCUCCUCCUCCAAGGUAACAUACUUUCCUGCUCUUGUGGUAGCUUUUCAAGUAGACUUUGAAUAUUUCAUCAUUUUACUUCCAAAGCAUAAUCUUCACAUUGGAAUAUUGUUUAUCCUUUAACAACAUACACUCAUACAACAAGAAGCAAAAGAUAUGUGGGGACCUUUUAGGUCAAAGCAUUGAACAACUGAAUGAUGUUGCAGCUAUUAGUGGAGUUAAUCUCAGGGUAAUUCCUCCCGUUUCAACUACCUGGAACAACAAAUCUAUAGUUUUUAUGAGUUAAGUUCUCUAAGUUACGAAUUCAGUAUUAUAAUUUAGUUGCAGAUUUUCUUGCCCUACUAAGUGGUUGAUUGGUGAGUUCAUAUUUUGUUUUAAUCAUAAUUUAGUUGCAGAUUGGUGAGUUCAUAUUUUGUUUUAAUCAUAAUUUAGUUGCAGGUUUUCUUGCCCUACUAAGUGGUUGAUUUUACAGUGUGUUGAGAGAAUAGUUAUUAACAUAGUAUUUGUAUGCUAACUGGACCAUGAAGCAUAAAGAUGAAGAUGGGAAGUCCUUAACUCACCCGGAUAAAAGUUCCAGGAAGGUCCCGGUGGUCCCUUAAACAAAGGACCAUGAAGUUCUUGGUCUGAAGGUGCUAAUUGGUUAGUAUUGGUUUGCACUAAGGCAAUGCGGCAUUAUGGAGUAGUUAGUGGUUUGUAUAGGCAUUAUGCCCUUGUGAGGUGACCACUUUUGGGUCACAUGUAAAACAUUAUUUGGGUGGCAAUGAAUAACUCCUUAAAAAAUAUUUAUUUAUUAAAUUUUUU